rnacentral:rRNA from 1 species
AACGAACGCUGGCGGCAGGCUUAACACAUGCAAGUCGAGCGCCCCGCAAGGGGAGCGGCAGACGGGUGAGUAACGCGUGGGAAUCUACCCAUCUCUACGGAAUAACGCAUGGAAACGUGUGCUAAUACCGUAUACGUCCUUCGGGAGAAAGAUUUAUCGGAGAUGGAUGAGCCCGCGUUGGAUUAGCUAGUCGGUGGGGUAAAGGCCUACCAAGGCGACGAUCCACAGCUGGUCUGAGAGGAUGAUCAGCCACACUGGGACUGAGACACGGCCCAGACUCCUACGGGAGGCAGCAGUGGGGAAUAUUGGACAAUGGGCGCAAGCCUGAUCCAGCCAUGCCGCGUGAGUGAUGAAGGCCCUAGGGUUGUAAAGCUCUUUCACCGGUGAAGAUAAUGACGGUAACCGGAGAAGAAGCCCCGGCUAACUUCGUGCCAGCCGCCGCGGUAAGAC